GGCGGACGGGUGAGUAAUGCUUAGGAAUCUGCCUAUUAGUGGGGGACAACAUCUCGAAAGGGAUGCUAAUACCGCAUACGUCCUACGGGAGAAAGCAGGGGAUCACUUGUGACCUUGCGCUAAUAGAUGAGCCUAAGUCGGAUUAGCUAGUUGGUGGGGUAAAGGCCUACCAAGGCGACGAUCUGUAGCGGGUCUGAGAGGAUGAUCCGCCACACUGGGACUGAGACACGGCCCAGACUCCUACGGGAGGCAGCAGUGGGGAAUAUUGGACAAUGGGGGGAACCCUGAUCCAGCCAUGCCGCGUGUGUGAAGAAGGCCUUAUGGUUGUAAAGCACUUUAAGCGAGGAGGAGGCUCUUUUGGUUAAUACCCAGAAUGAGUGGACGUUACUCGCAGAAUAAGCACCGGCUAACUCUGUGCCAGCAGCCGCGGUAAUACAGAGGGUGCAAGCGUUAAUCGGAUUUACUGGGCGUAAAGCGCGCGUAGGCGGCCAAUUAAGUCAAAUGUGAAAUCCCCGAGCUUAACUUGGGAAUUGCAUUCGAUACUGGUUGGCUAGAGUGUGGG
rnacentral:rRNA from 1 species